UGGGGAAUUUUGCACAAUGGGGGAAACCCUGAUGCAGCGACGCCGCGUGAUUUAGAAGGCCUUCGGGUUGUAAAAAUCUUUUUUAUGGGAUGAAAAUGACAGUACCAUAAGAAUAAGGUCCGGCUAAAUACGUGCCAGCAGCCGCGGUAAUACGUAUGGACCGAGCGUUGUCCGGAAUCAUUGGGCGUAAAGGGUACGUAGGCGGCCCAGUAAGUUAGAAGUGAAAUAAUAUAGCUCAACUAUAUAAAGCUUUUAAAACUGCUAGGCUUGAGAGAUGGAAGGGAAAGUGGAAUUCCUAGUGUAGCGGUGAAAUGCGCAGAUAUUAGGAGGAAUACCGGUGGCGAAGGCGACUUUCUGGCCAUAUACUGACGCUGAGGUACGAAAGCGUGGGUAGCAAACAGG
rnacentral:rRNA from 1 species